CGUCUUGUCUUCUAUCGCUUGAAUCUGCUUCAGUGAAAGGACAAAAAUAACACAGCAGAGGCUUGGAAAGUUCUUGGGCAGUGUACCUGCCUGCCUCUGUCCUGCUGAGAACCCUGAUCCUACCUGCUGGAAAGGUCACACAGAAAAGAAAGGAGAUACCCUGGCUGACAGUCUGCCAACCUCACAACACGAGUGAGGGAAUUAUACACCAUCCUGCCUCAGGCAAGCCACACACUGUCUGCACCUUUAUGAGCAAGCCCAGUGCUGCAGUCAGGUUGUUCAGGAAUACCUGUCAACUGCGGCAGUAGAGCAGGAAGCUCUCUAAGUGAAGAACACAUCACCUCACCCUGUGAUGCAGGAGGAGCAGGUCAGUGUGUGAGCUGCCUGGCUCCCUCCUCGCUGACCCCACCUCAAGGAAAUGCCAGGACACAGCACCGGCACCCCCCCCCAGGAGGCAGCACUGAGGUGCCAUCUUGGAAGCAGAAAGCAGCCCUCGUCAGAUGCCGGACCUGAGUGUAUCUUGGUCUUCAGGUUCCCAGACUCCAGAACUAUGAAGUGGACAAGAAUAGCAAAGGACGCCCUCCCAGAGACAGAUGGAAAUAAAAGAUACAUGCAGACAGCGCAGACACAGAUGAUGGAGAACUCAUUACUGACAUCACGCAAGCUCCCUGGCCCAGCCUUUUUCCAAGGCCAAGAGGAGUAUGGUCUCAAGGUGCAUCCCUUCAGCUAGAAAUGUCUCAAGUGUACCCUACUUUAUGGCCUACUUCGGGGAAUAAAAUAAAAUGAAGUCAAACAUAAA